rnacentral:tRNA from 1 species
GGCUCGUUGGCCUAGGAGUAUGAUUCUUGCUUUGGGUGUGAGAGGGCCUGGGUUCAAAUCCCGGACGAGUCC